rnacentral:rRNA from 1 species
UAGGGAAUCUUCCACAAUGGACGCAAGUCUGAUGGAGCAACGCCGCGUGAGUGAAGAAGGUUUUCGGAUCGUAAAGCUCUGUUGUUGGUGAAGAAGGAUAGAGGCAGUAACUGGUCUUUAUUUGACGGUAAUCAACCAGAAAGUCACGGCUAACUACGUGCCAGCAGCCGCGGUAAUACGUAGGUGGCAAGCGUUGUCCGGAUUGAUUGGGCGUAAAGCGAGGGCAGGCGGAAUGAUAAGUCUGAUGUGAAAGCCCACGGCUCAACCGUGGAACUGCAUCGGAAACUGUCAUUCUUGAGUGCAGAAGAGGAGAGGGGAAUUCCAUGUGUAGCGGUGGAAUGCGUAGAUAUAUGGAAGAACACCAGUGGCGAAGGCGGCUCUCUGGUCUGCAACUGACGCUGAGGCUCGAAAGCAUGGGUAGCGAACAGG